UUUUAUCAUCUUUUGUAUUUGAUGAUUUAAGAUGUUGAUGUAUAAAGCAAAGAGAGAAAAGAAUGUAAUAUUUAUAUUGAGCAAAUGUGAUGUACGAAAGAAAUGAUGAAAUGUUGUAAUGGAAUGUAAGGAAUAAAAAAUGUACAAGUUGGAUGCGAUGUAUAUGAUCUAAAUUGAAUCAUAGUACUUGCGUAGAUGUUAGUUUU
rnacentral:lncRNA from 1 species